rnacentral:rRNA from 1 species
UGGGGAAUAUUGCACAAUGGGCGCAAGCCUGAUGCAGCCAUGCCGCGUGAGGGACGACGGCCUUCGGGUUGUAAACCUCUUUUAGCAAGGAAGAAGCGAAAGUGACGGUACUUGCAGAAAAAGCGCCGGCUAACUACGUGCCAGCAGCCGCGGUAAUACGUAGGGCGCAAGCGUUAUCCGGAAUUAUUGGGCGUAAAGAGCUCGUAGGCGGUUUGUCGCGUCUGCUGUGAAAACCCGAGGCUCAACCUCGGGCCUGCAGUGGGUACGGGCAGACUAGAGUGCGGUAGGGGAGAUUGGAACUCCUGGUGUAGCGGUGGAAUGCGCAGAUAUCAGGAAGAACACCGAUGGCGAAGGCAGAUCUCUGGGCCGUAACUGACGCUGAGGAGCGAAAGGGUGGGGAGCAAACAGGCUUAGAUACCCUGGUAGUCCACCCGUAAACGUUGGGAACUAGUUGUGGGGUCCAUUCCACGGAUUCCGUGACGCAGCUAACGCAUUAAGUU